GGGCCUAGAGGGCGACGCCUGCUGGGCUCUCAGGGUCUCAGCCUCGCUUCUCUUGGGGCAAGAGGCGGGGCCUGAGGCCCCGCCCCUCCAAGAGGAGGAGCCAGAAUCUCCCUGAAAGUGACGGUCCUCCCAGGACCAGAGUGAGGAGCCUGGUUGGCUGGAAGAAACACAUGCCUGCUCAGGACACCUGGCAGACAGGAUUUCUCCUCAUUCAGGAAAGAUUUCCCUUCGGCCUUCAGCGUGCAACCUCUGCAGACCCAAUUGCACAACUUUCACUGUGUAUGGACACACAUCCCAGUGGACACCCAAUGAUCAGCAAGCACACAGCUUCAAGAGAAGAGAUUCCUGUGUAGGUACAAAAAAAAAAAAAGCCCUCAGUUCUAAGGAAUAUACAAACAUGCAGAAUCGCAGCUACCCUAAACAAGAAUCAGAUACUCAACAGUCCUUCGGCACACACUUCUCACAAAUCCCAGACGUCUGUAACACACACAAAUGAGACACCAAGAAGACAGACAGCAGCGGACUUUGCAUACUCUAAGGAUGCAGAACAAUGUGAAAUACUAAUACAUGAGUGGAUUUCAUGUUGAUGUUACAUAAAGGUACACAAGUAUUGAAGAACUGAGCAUGCUCAGAAUCAUGGCAUUACAUGGGCAAACUGGUAGGCAUUAAAUGGGCUGGAAUUGGUUCCAGUUCUGCUGCUUCCAUGCCCUGCAACUGGGUGAAUCACGGCCGUCCGUGACCUUGAUUUCCUCAUGUGUAAGAUGAGUGGACUAUAUGGUUCUGCCAGACACAAGCAUGUUGUGAGAGUUUCAAGUAAGUCCAGCAGGCUUCCUGGACUUGGAGACUUCAGUUACACCUCCAAGGACCGGGUCUGGCGUAGCAGUGAUCUUCACCCAAGACUGGUUUUUUUAACACUGCCCACAUCUCUGCAAGUGGUCACUGAAUUCUUUUCAGUUAAAAUCUUGACAUGCCAGCACCCUGACUGAUACAGGCACCAACAAAUAAGAGACACUUUCGGUACCCCUUUCCCCAAAGUAAAGAACUUAUCCCAGUUUCAUUCAUAUGGGUAAGAUUUUUGUCUGUUGAAAAAAUAAAUUUUUAUUUACUACUCAG